UCUCGAUUCGUCUAGUGGUUAGGAUACCGGCUUGUCAAGGACAAUUGUCAAAGACAAACCAUGCGCCGGUGGCCGGGGUUCAAUUCCCCGAUCGAGAG